rnacentral:tRNA from 1 species
AGGCAUAGUUUAGCGGUAAAACUGCGGCUUCCCAAGCCGCCGUCGCGGGUUCGACUCCCGUUGCCUG